UGUCAGAAGUGGGAUUUGAACCCAUGCCUUCUCACGAAGGCUAAAACUUGAGUUUGGCACCCUUAAACCACUCAACCAUCCUAUC
rnacentral:tRNA from 1 species